rnacentral:rRNA from 1 species
UACGUAGGGUGCAAGCGUUGUCCGGAAUUAUUGGGCGUAAAGAGCUCGUAGGCGGUGUGUCACGUCGGCCGUGAAAACCUGCAGCUUAACUGUGGGCGUGCGGUCGAUACGGGCAUCACUGGAGUUCGGCAGGGGAGACUGGAAUUCCUGGUGUAGCGGUGAAAUGCGCAGAUAUCAGGAGGAACACCGGUGGCGAAGGCGGGUCUCUGGGCCGUAACUGACGCUGAGGAGCGAAAGCAUGGGGAGCGAACAGG